CUACGGGAUGCUGCAGUGGGGAAUCUUGCACAAUGGGCGCAAGCCUGAUGCAGCCAUGCCGCGUGAGUGAAGAAGGCCUUAGGGUUGUAAAGCUCUUUCGCUAGGGAAGAUAAUGACGGUACCUAGUAAAGAAGCCCCGGCUAACUCCGUGCCAGCAGCCGCGGUAAUGCGGAGGGGGCUAGCGUUGUUCGGAAUUACUGGGCGUAAAGCGCGCGUAGGCGGACUGAUUAGUCAGAGGUGAAAUCCCGGGGCUCAACUCCGGAACUGCCUUUGAUACUGUCAGUCUAGAGACCGAGAGAGGUGAGUGGAAUUCCUAGUGUAGAGGUGAAAUUCGUAGAUAUUAGGAAGAACACCAGUGGCGAAGGCGGCUCACUGGCUCGGAACUGACGCUGAGGUGCGAAAGCGUGGGGAGCAAACAGGAUUAGAUACCCGUGUAGUC
rnacentral:rRNA from 1 species